AAAACCCUAGGACCUAGAACCUUCUAUUCCUCUCUAGAGCAACUUCAUCUUUGCUGUACCAGUCUCCUCUCAGUUCUCUCAUUUUAAAAGAGAGAUCCAUACGGCCAAAUCAUUUUGCCUAUCGGACGAGAAAUACUGAAAUAUCAGUUAGCUUAGCAGAGAGAACAACAACAACUGGGAUGGCAAAGCGUUUGAUUCCAACCCUUAAUCGCGUUCUGGUGGAGAAGGUCAUUCCUCCCUCCAAAACCACUGCCGGUAUUCUCCUACCCGAGUCAUCCACCAAGCUGAAUUCGGGCAAGGUGAUCUCUGUUGGUCCUGGAUUGAGGACCAAUGAAGGGAAAACGAUCCCUCCAUCUGUCAAGGAAGGUGACACUGUGCUUUUGCCUGAGUAUGGGGGUACCCAAGUCAAGCUUGGCGAAAAAGAGUUUUGUUUAUACAGGGAUGAGGACAUCUUGGGCACUUUACAUGAGUGAUUGAUUGCUAGUUUUUGUAUUUGGAGCUUUAUUUAGGCAUUGGAUCCCAUGGAUGUAACUUAUAAACAUUGAAGAUUUUUAAUUGAACUGAGUGAAUUUUCUUUGGAAUAUGAUAAUGGAAAUUAUCUCUUCUUUGUUGCAGUUGCUUUGUUAUUGGCUUUCAUCAGCAUGGAAUUCAAAUGUAGACUAGAAUUGAUCUAAUUUGGUUUCAUUAUAAGCAUCUAUGACUAGAAGCAUAUUGAAAGGUUGUUGUUGGUCGACGAGGCAUAACUGGGGAGUUUAAUUCAGUCAUAGUAGAAAUGACAUAUGUGGCCACUGAAUGUAUGUUUGACACUUUUGAAUGCCAAAAGUCUUCCAUUGUUAUUGUAAGCAAAGAGCUUGAGAGAUCCUUCAAAUAAUCUGACCUCUCUUCUAAGAGGUUUUCCUUCGGGAAUUGAUGGGUGAUUAAAAAAGAUAGUAGAUAGCAUAGAGUUAAUUACACGGUAGGAAUAACUUUAGAAGGGUAAUUAUUAAGGUUCCUUGAUGAAACUUGAUAUGUUCUGAUAAUAAAAUGUAUCUUCAAAGUCUAGAUAUUGGAAUAUGUUAUGCAUUUUCUAAUAUUUAGUAUAAAUAGGUGGAUUGUUAUUACUUAUUAGAGUGCUUGUUCAGAAUUAUUUCAACUAUAAUUUGAUUUGGGCUUUAUAUUAUUAUCAAUGUUCCUAAUGUUAUGGAAGGGUUAUUAUACAUUUUCAGUAAGGUGAAAUCAUGGAUGUGGAUACAUGUCGUUCCUUCCUAGAGGGUCUCAUUUAGGAGUCAUACAUAUCAGCAUGCAUGAAUGUUGGGGAUAGGAUUUGGAUUAAUUUGCUGGUUGAUUUGUUAUUUACCUUGGCAUUUAUCCACACAUGAAUUAAUUACGAUGUAUUGUAAACUUUGUAUUAUUAUGUGCUCCCAAUAUAUGCAUUAUCUUUU
rnacentral:misc_RNA from 1 species